rnacentral:rRNA from 1 species
GACGAACGCUGGCGGCGUGCUUAACACAUGCAAGUCGAACGGAAAGGCCCUGCUUUUGUGGGGUGCUCGAGUGGCGAACGGGUGAGUAACACGUGAGUAACCUGCCCGUGACUUUGGGAUAACUUCAGGAAACUGGGGCUAAUACCGGAUAGGAGCUCCUGCUGCAUGGUGGGGGUUGGAAAGUUUCGGCGGUUGGGGAUGGACUCGCGGCUUAUCAGCUUGUUGGUGGGGUAGUGGCUUACCAAGGCUUUGACGGGUAGCCGGCCUGAGAGGGUGACCGGCCACAUUGGGACUGAGAUACGGCCCAGACUCCUACGGGAGGCAGCAGUGGGGAAUAUUGCACAAUGGGCGGAAGCCUGAUGCAGCAACGCCGCGUGCGGGAUGACGGCCUUCGGGUUGUAAACCGCUUUCGCCUGUGACGAAGCGUGAGUGGCGGUAAUGGGUAAAGAAGCACCGGCUAACUACGUG